UCUUGGUCAUUUAGAGGAAGUAAAAGUCGUAACAAGGUUUCCGUAGGUGAACCUGCGGAAGGAUCAUUAAUGCUUUAGCGGGUGUGUUGCGGCCCUCGAGGUCCCGUGCAUUCGCUGCACGGGAACAAGCUCCGGGAGGUGUAGGGUUCCCACGUGGGGGCCCUUUCACGCGCACAUGACUGAAUCCUUACUUUACUCGUACCUCUCGUUCUCCUUCGGCGGGGCAGCCUGCCGUUGGAACAGCCAAAACUCUUUUUUUUGCAUCCAGCAUUACCUGUUCUGAUACAAACAAUCGUUACAACUUUCAACAAUGGAUCUCUUGGCUCUGGCAUCGAUGAAGAACGCAGCGAAAUGCGAUAAGUAGUGUGAAUUGCAGAAUUCAGUGAAUCAUCGAAUCUUUGAACGCACAUUGCGCCCCUUGGUAUUCCAUGGGGCAUGCCUGCUCGAGCGUCAUCUACACCCUCAAGCUCUGCUUGGUGUUGGGCGUCUUUGUCCCGCCUCCGCGCGCGGACUCGCCCCAAAUUCAUUGGCAGCGGUCCUUGCCUCCUCUCGCGCAGCACAUUGCGCUUCUCGAGGUGUUGCGGCCCGCGUCCAGAAAGCAAUCGUUACCGUCUUUGACCUCGGAUCAGGUAGGGAUACCCGCUGAACUUAAGCAU
rnacentral:rRNA from 1 species